UACGUAGGUGGCAAGCGUUGUUCGGAAUUACUGGGCGUAAAGGGCUCGUAGGCGGCCAACUAAGUCGGAUGUGAAAUCCCCAGGCUUAACCUGGGAACUGCAUCCGAUACUGGAUGGCUUGAAUUCGGGAGAGGGAUGCAGAAUUCCAGGUGUAGCGGUGAAAUGCGUAGAUAUCUGGAGGAAUACCGGUGGCGAAGGCGGCAUCCUGGACCGACAUUGACGCUGAGUGAGCGAAAGCUAGGGGAGCAAACGGG
rnacentral:rRNA from 1 species